UGCACUUGUGUGUUCUUCAGAGUUUCAAGU
rnacentral:piRNA from 1 species